rnacentral:rRNA from 1 species
GGGGGGGGGGGGGGGGGGGGGGGGGGGGUGGGGGGGGGGGGGGGGGGGGGGAGGGGGGCGGCUGUGGUGGUGGCGGCGGGCGGGUGAGGGACACGUGGAUAACCUACCUAUACGGCUGGGAUAACUUCGGGCAACCGGCGCGAAUGCCGGAGAAUGUUUUGAACCGCCUGGUUCAAAAGUGAAAGGCGGUCUUGCUGUCACUGCUCGCUGGAUCCGCGCUGCAGUAGCUAGUUGGUACGGUAACCGCUGACCAAGGCAACGAUGCAUAUCCGACCUGCGAGGGGGAGCGGCCACACUGGACGUGAGACACGGUCCAGACUCCUACGGGAGGCAGCAGUAGGGAAGCUUCUGCAAAGGGCGAAAGCCUGACGGAGCAACGCCGCGUGAGUGAUGAAGGUCUUCGGAUCGUAAAACUCUGUUAUGAGGGAAGAACAUAUGUGUAAGUAACUGUGCACAUCUUGACGGUACCUAAUCAGAAAGCCACGGCUAACUACGUG